CAUUCACGGAGAGUUUGAUCCUGGCUCAGGACGAACGCUGGCGGCGUGCUUAACACAUGCAAGUCGAACGAUGAAGCCNUUCGGGGUGGAUUAGUGGCGAACGGGUGAGUAACACGUGGGCAAUCUGCCCUUCACUCUGGGACAAGCCCUGGAAACGGGGUCUAAUACCGGAUAAUACUUUCUCUCUCCUGGG
rnacentral:rRNA from 1 species